rnacentral:rRNA from 1 species
UACGUAGGGGGCGAGCGUUACCCGGAUUUACUGGGCGUAAAGCGCGUGUAGGCGGCUUGUUAAGUCGGGUGUGAAAGCCCUCAGCUCAACUGAGGAAGGGCGCCCGAAACUGGCGAGCUUGAGUGUCGGAGAGGAUGGCGGAAUACCCCAAGUAGAGGUGAAAUUCGUAGAUAUGGGGUGGAACACCGGUGGCGAAGGCGGCCAUCUGGACGACAACUGACGCUGAGACGCGAAAGCGUGGGGAGCAAACAGG